UACGGAGGAUGCAAGCGUUAUCCGGAUUCAUUGGGUUUAAAGGGUGCGUAGGCGGACUAUUAAGUCAGUGGUGAAAGACCUGCAGCUUAACUGCAGAACUGCCAUUGAUACUGAUAGUCUUGAGUUUGGUUAAGGUAGGCGGAAUGUGUAAUGUAGCGGUGAAAUGCUUAGAUAUUACACAGAACACCAAUUGCGUAGGCAGCUUACUGAGCCGACACUGACGCUGAGGCACGAAAGCGUGGGGAGUCGAACAGGA
rnacentral:rRNA from 1 species